GAUGAACGCUGGCGGCGUGCCUAAUACAUGCAAGUCGAGCGAACAGAUGAGGAGCUUGCUCCUCUGACGUUAGCGGCGGACGGGUGAGUAACACGUGGAUAACCUACCUAUAAGACUGGGAUAACUUCGGGAAACCGGAGCUAAUACCGGAUAAUAUAUUGAACCGCAUGGUUCAAUAGUGAAAGACGGUUUUGCUGUCACUUAUAGAUGGAUCCGCGCCGCAUUAGCUAGUUGGUAAGGUAACGGCUUACCAAGGCAACGAUGCGUAGCCGACCUGAGAGGGUGAUCGGCCACACUGGAACUGAGACACGGACCAGACUCCUACGGGAGGCAGCAGUAGGGAAUCUUACGCAAUGGGCGAAAGCCUGACGGAGCAACGCCGCGUGAGUGAUGAAGGUCUUCGGAUCGUAAAACUCUGUUAUUAGGGAAGAACAAAUGUGUAAGUAACUAUGCACGUCUUGACGGUACCUAAUCAGAAAGCCACGGCUAACUACGUG
rnacentral:rRNA from 1 species